CGAACUAUAGUUUAUAUAAAACAUUUGGUUUGCAACUAAAAGAAGAGUAUAGUUCAU
rnacentral:tRNA from 1 species